GAUGAACGCUGGCGGCGUGCCUAACACAUGCAAGUCGAGCGAUUUACUUCGGUAAAGAGCGGCGGACGGGUGAGUAACGCGGGGGUAACCUCCCCUGUACACACGGAUAACAUACCGAAAGGUAUGCUAAUACGAGAUAAUAUGCUUUUAUCGCAUGGUAGAAGUAUCAAAGCUUUUGCGGUACAGGAUGGAUCCGCGUCUGAUUAGCUAGUUGGUGAGGUAACGGCUCACCAAGGCGACGAUCAGUAGCCGACCUGAGAGGGUGAUCGGCCACAUUGGAACUGAGACACGGUCCAAACUCCGACGGGAAGCAGCAGUGGGGAAUAUUGCACAAUGGGGGAAAGCCUGAUGCAGCAACGCCGCGUGAGCGAUGAAGGCCUUCGGGUCGUAAAGCUCUGUCCUCAAGGAAGAUAAUGACGGUACUUGAGGAGGAAGCCCCGGCUAACUACGUG
rnacentral:rRNA from 1 species